GCACUGUUUAAUGUAAUCCUAAAGUAUUUUUUCAAUCAAAAGUGCUUAGAGCAAUAGAAAAAUAAGUUAUUUGUGUGAUCGUAAAGCGUGUCCAUUAAUUUGCGGCAUCGUUUGAGCCGAAAAUUAGAAUUCAAUCGUUGAACGUAUUUUCGUGAACAACCCGAAUUUUGGAAUUCUUAAGUUCAAUGACGAUAUACAAGUUGACACGCUGAACGAAUUAAGAUAAUUUUACUGUUUUACUGUAGUCGAGAGACUG